rnacentral:rRNA from 1 species
UGGCUCUUUCAGAGUCCGAGUUGUAAUUUGAAGAAGGUAUCUUUGGGUCUGGCUCUUGUCUAUGUUUCUUGGAACAGAACGUCACAGAGGGUGAGAAUCCCGUGCGAUGAGAUGAUCCAGGCCUAUGUAAAGUUCCUUCGAAGAGUCGAGUUGUUUGGGAAUGCAGCUCUAAGUGGGUGGUAAAUUCCAUCUAAAGCUAAAUAUUGGCGAGAGACCGAUAGCGAACAAGUACAGUGAUGGAAAGAUGAAAAGAACUUUGAAAAGAGAGUGAAAAAGUACGUGAAAUUGUUGAAAGGGAAGGGCUUGAGAUCAGACUUGGUAUUUUGUAUGUUACUUCUUCGGGGGUGGCCUCUACAGUUUAUCGGGCCAGCAUCAGUUUGGGCGGUAGGAGAAUUGCGUUGGAAUGUGGCACGGCUUCGGUUGUGUGUUAUAGCCUUCGUCGAUACUGCCAGCCUAGACUGAGGACUGCGGUUUAUACCUAGGAUGUUGGCAUAAUGAUCUUAAGUCGCCC